GUAGGUGGCAAGCGUUGUCCGGAAUUAUUGGGCGUAAAGCGCGCGCAGGCGGUCCUUUAAGUCUGAUGUGAAAGCCCACGGCUCAACCGUGGAGGGUCAUUGGAAACGUGGGGGACUUGAGUACAGAAGAGGAAAGCGGAAUUCCAAGUGUAGCGGUGAAAUGCGUAGAGAUUUGGAGGAACACCAGUGGCGAAGGCGGCUUUCUGGUCUGUAACUGACGCUGAGGCGCGAAAGCGUGGGGAGCAAACAGGGAUUAGAUACCCUGGUAGUCCACGCCGUAAACGAUGAGUGCUAAGUGUUAGGGGGGUUUCCCGCCCCUUAGUGCUGCAGCUAACGCAUUUAAGCACUCCGCCUGGGGAGUACGGCCGCAAGGCUGA
rnacentral:rRNA from 1 species